CGGUGGAGCAUGUGGUUCAAUUCGACGCAACGCGAAGAACCUUACCUGGGCUUGGCAUGGUAGGAACCUUAAGAGAUUAGGGGUGCUAGCUUGCUAGAACCUACACACAGGUGCUGCACGGCUGUCGUCAGCUCGUGUCGUGAGAUGUUGGGUUAAGUCCCGCAACGAGCGCAACCCUCGUCCUUAGUUGCUAACAGUUCGGCUGAGCACUCUAGGGAGACUGCCUUCGCAAGGAGGAGGAAGGUGAGGACGACGUCAAGUCAUCAUGGCCCUUACGGCCAGGGCUACACACGUGCUACAAUGGGGCGUACAGAGAGCUGCGAUACCGCGAGGUGGAGCCAAUCUCUUAAAGCGUCUCUCAGUUCGGAUUGUUCUCUGCAACUCGAGAACAUGAAGCUGGAAUCACUAGUAAUCGCAGAUCAGCUAUGCUGCGGUGAAUACGUUCCCGGGUCUU
rnacentral:rRNA from 1 species